rnacentral:lncRNA from 1 species
AAAUAGAUGAUCACCAGUCAUCCAGACUCUCAAGUUCAUUAACUGUACAACAAAAAAUCAAAAGUGCAACAAUACAUGCUGCUUCAAAAGUAUUUAUAACUUUUGAGAAGUUACUCAGGCGUGGUGGCGUGUGACUGUAAUCUCAGCUACCGGGGAGGCUGAAGCAGAAGAAACGCUCGAACCUGGGAGGCAGAGCUUACAGUGAGCCGAGAUCGCACCACUGCACUUCAGCCUGGGUGACAAAGUGAGACUCCAUCUACAUACAUACAUACAUACAUACAUACAUACAUACAUACAUACAUACAUACAUAAAAUGCCCAGUAUCUUACAAGACUGUAGUUCACAGUGGGUAAUUCAAAUCAGACACUGCUCUUCAAGAGAGGUAAUAUUAAUAGAAAUCUUUCAAGAAGGAUUGUUUUCUACUAUUAAAACAAUAAAACUCUUAUAAACCUGUUUAUCAGAAGGAUAUUUCUGUUUCAGCAACUCCUGGAAUCCUUCUUCAACAUCCCAACCAACAAUUACUCCCAGAUAGCCAUGUCACCUGUGAAUUAUCAUGAAUCCCACAUCAAAUGAACAAAUACUGCCUCUGGA